AGAAGCUCUCUGAAUUUUAUCUUUAAAAUAAAUUUGAAGAGUUGGAAGAACUUGAGAUCCUGCGCCAGAUUUGGAAUCUAGGAAUUUCAAUCGAGGAAUGACACAUACUAAGAAUUUUAUGGACUGCUUCACUGCAAUAUUUUCUGGAAAUAAUAAUCGGUCAGGUCCUCGGAGCCCUGGAGACACGGACAUCCGCCACUGACUCACAGGAGAUCUUAAAACCUGGCCCAAAUGAAGCUGAAGAAAGACCGCAAGAUCUUCAAGUGUUGACUGGAGCAUGAUUUGGAAACAAAGUUCUCUUCAGUAUACACAACCAAUAUAUUCUUGAAUGCUGACUGCAAAAGGAAAUUUUGAAAAUGUGGCUCCAGGGAGAAGCUGUGCUCCGUAAAUAUCUAUCACCCAAGUCCAAUGCAUUAGCAAAGUUAAGAACUCUUUCUGUCCUGUGAAGAACUAUUCCUUAAUUUGUCUCCUUUUAGAAUGAGAUUGAUAUA